GCGGGCGUAGCUCAGUUGGUUAGAGCGCCGGCCUGUCACGCCGGAGGUCGCGAGUUCAAGUCUCGUCGCUCGCGCCA
rnacentral:tRNA from 3 species